rnacentral:rRNA from 1 species
CGAACGGGUGAGUAAUACAUCGGAACGUGUCCGCUCGUGGGGGACGAACCAGCCGAAAGGUUGGCUAAUACCGCAUGAGUUCUACGGAAGAAAGAGGGGGACCCGCAAGGGCCUCUCGCGAGCGGAGCGGCCGAUGACUGAUUAGCCGGUUGGUGAGGUAACGGCUCACCAAAGCAACGAUCAGUAGCUGGUCUGAGAGGACGACCAGCCACACUGGGACUGAGACACGGCCCAGACUCCUACGGAAGGCAGCAG